rnacentral:lncRNA from 1 species
AUGUGGAGAGAGGCUGCGAGCCCUGCUGCAGAGCCUCCGGCUGGGAUAGCCGCCCCCCGUGGGGGCGAUGCGGACAGCGCGGGACAGCCAGGGGAGCGCGCGGGGGCCGCAGCAUGCGGGAACCCGCUAAACCCGGUGGCUGCUGAGGCGGCCGAGAUGCUCGUGCGCGCAGCGCGCCCCACUGCAUCCUCGACCUUCUCCGGCUACAGGUACGUCCCAGCGGGAGACCUGGGCUGGGCCGGCCGGGGAAGAGGAAGACUCGACCCGAGGAGAGAGAGCGGGAGGAUCAGGAGAGCGAGGGAGAGGAGAGCGGGAGAGGGAGCAUCUGCGGCAAGGCGCGGGAGGAGCACCAGGGGGCGCUGCGGCUCCGCGCUCCGCGGCGCUCGCCCCGAAGAGCGCGUCGGCCAGAACGACUUCUCCCCAACUUCCCCUGGCUCCGGCGGGCGCGGGGCCCGAGGGGCGCGCGCCUGUGCACGCGUGCACGACCGUGCUGGUAUUUGCAGGCACGCGCAGUUGUGCACCUGGCGCGAUACAUGUGUGUGCACCGGCCGAGGACGUGUGCGGACUCCGGAUGGCCGUGGGCACCGCCACGGCGGCCUGCGGCUGUGCGCAGCAAUGCGCGCGUGCCUGAGAGGCUGUGCAGCCCACUGCCCACGUGCCCCUAACACUUGGUAACAGGAUCUGGGCUGCAAAGCCUGGGGAGGGGCUGUAGGGUUCACGUCGGUUGGAGAGCGGCUUAGGAGCCCACCUUUCCCCCCACGCACGUUCCCAGCCGGCUCCCACGCGCCGGCCCACGGCUGGGGGGGGGCGGACGCGCCUCCUCUCCUCUCCGGGAUUCUGCAUUGCACGCGGCAAGCGUGAGAGAGGGCGUGUGUGUGUAUGUGUGUGUGUGCACAUGCACGCGUGUAGGGGGCGGGCCCUGGAGCCCGCCUUCAGUUGAGUGGAAGUCGCCUCGGGAUCCCUCCAAGGGAGGUGGCGCGGGCCCGAAAUUCCCCCCAGGCACCCCGGACCCCGGGGCGCACAAGCGAGUGUCCUCGCUGCCUUGCGCUUGGGAGGGGGUGCCCCGCGGAGGCAGGCCUGUGCUGCGCCCCGCGGGCUCGCAGGGGGCGGGGUCAGCCAACUAGCCCGGCGCGGGAGC